GAUCAGUUCAUUCUGAGCGCCGCGGGGAAAUGACCCUUUGAUGCGGCAGAAGAUCAAAAGAAGCCCCGCAAUCAGGUCAGAGACACAGCGACACACUGCAGCUCUGCCACUCUGUCACGUAUCAGAGGCCAACCAAUAAGCACUGGCAAUCUUCGUGUGAGUUUAGAAGAUGAUGAUUUUUCACCUAAAGCCCGUUUCCACAAGUGCAAGGUGUUGUUUUGGUACAACAGAUCAUCUGCUCCCACCUGCUGAUUCUCACCUGUCGCAUUAAAGCAGCGGACUUCACUCCCUGAACAGUUCACUGUGUUUGAGCAGCUCUGUCCAUCACAAGAGUAACACGUCUUUCCAUUGGAAGUGUUAUUGCUGGGAUCUACAGGAGGGAAAAUAAAUGUGCUUUGUUGGUCCUGGUUUUAUU